UCUUAUGUAUGAGCAAAGAAAGUGGUUUCUUGAGAUGAAACUGCUCCUAUUGAAGAUGCUGUAAA
rnacentral:pre_miRNA from 1 species